rnacentral:rRNA from 1 species
CCUACGGGUGGCUGCAGUGAGGAAUAUUGGUCAAUGGCCGAAAGGCUGAACCAGCCAAGUCGCGUGAAGGAAGACGGAUCUAUGGUUUGUAAACUUCUUUUAUAGGGGAAUAAAGGUAUGCACGUGUGGAUUUUUGCAUGUACCCUAUGAAUCAGCAUCGGCUAACUCCGUGCCAGCAGCCGCGGUAAUACGGAGGAUGCGAGCGUUAUCCGGAUUUAUUGGUUUUAAAGGGUGCGUAGGUUGUUGUUUAAGUCAGCGGGGAAAGUUUGUGGCUCAACCGUAAAAUUGCCGUUGAAACUGGAAGACUUGAGUGUGUUUGAGGUAGUCGGAAUGCGGGGGUUAGCGGUGAAAUGCAUAGAUAUCACGCAGAACUCCAAUUGCGAAGGCAGCUUACAAAGCCAUAACUGACACUGAAGCACGAAAGCUUGGGGAUCAAACAGGAUUAGAUACCCUGUAGUC